rnacentral:snRNA from 1 species
AGAAAAAAAAAGAAAAGAAUCAGCAUGGCCCCUGCACAAAGGAUGACAUGAAAACUCGUGAAGUGUGCUAUAUUAAU